rnacentral:rRNA from 1 species
AUUGAACGCUGGCGGCAUGCCUUACACAUGCAAGUCGAACGGCAGCACGGGAGCAAUCCAGGUGGCGAGUGGCGAACGGGUGAGUAAUGUAUCGGAACGUACCUUUCAGUGGGGGAUAACGUAGCGAAAGUUACGCUAAUACCGCAUAUUCUGUGAGCAGGAAAGCAGGGGAUCGCAAGACCUUGCGCUGAUUGAGCGGCCGAUAUCAGAUUAGCUAGUUGGUGAGGUAAAGGCUCACCAAGGCGACGAUCUGUAGCGGGUCUGAGAGGAUGAUCCGCCACACUGGAACUGAGACACGGUCCAGACUCCUACGGGAGGCAGCAGUGGGGAACUUUGGACAAUGGGCGCAAGCCUGAUCCAGCCAUGCCGCGUGAGUGAAGAAGGCCUCGGUUGUAAG